rnacentral:rRNA from 1 species
UCGAGGAUCUUCGUCAAUGGGCGAAAGCCUGAACGAGCGACGCCGCGUGCGCGAUGAAGGCCUUCGGGUUGUAAAGCGCGAAAGUGGGGACGAAAGCUGAAAGGUUUGACCGAUCCACAGUAAGCUCGGGCUAAGUUCGUGCCAGCAGCCGCGGUAAGACGAACCGAGCGAACGUUAUUCGGAAUCACUGGGCUUAAAGGGCGCGUAGGCGGGUAUCCAAGUCUAUGGUGAAAUCCGGCAGCUUAACUGUCGAACUGCCGUGGAUACUGGGUAUCUCGAGGGAGGUAGGGGCAUGCGGAACUAACGGUGGAGCGGUGAAAUGCGUUGAUAUCGUUAGGAACUCCGGUGGCGAAGGCGGCAUGCUGGACCUUUUCUGACGCUGAGGCGCGAAAGCCAGGGGGGCAAACGG